rnacentral:misc_RNA from 1 species
GAUGAAGAACGUAGCGAAAUGCGAUAAGUAAUGUGAAUUGCAGAAUUCAGUGAAUCAUCGAAUCUUUGAACACACAUUGCGCCCGCCAGUAUUCUGGCGGGCAUGCCUGUCCGAGCGUCAUUUCAACCCUCGAGCCCCCCCGGGGGGUCGGCGUUGGGGAUCGGCUGUCAAGUCAAGACUGCCGGCCCCGAAAUGCAGUGGCGGUCUCGCCGCAGCCUCUCCUGCGCAGUAGCUUGCACGCUCGCAACGGGAGCGCGGCGCGUCCACGGCCGUAAAACAACCCAAACUUCUGAAAGGUUGACCUCGGAUCAGGUAGGAAUACCCGCUGAACUUAAGCAUAUCAAUAAGCGGAGGA